ACGACGCUGGCGGCGUGCCUAAUACAUGCAAGUCGAAGCGAACAGAAGGGAGCUUGCUCCCGGAUGUUAGCGGCGGACGGGUGAGUAACACGUGGGUAACCUGCCUGUAAGACUGGGAUAACUCCGGGAAACCGGAGCUAAUACCGGAUAGUUCCUUGAACCGCAUGGUUCAAGGAUGAAAGACGGUUUCGGCUGUCACUUACAGAUGGACCCGCGGCGCAUUAGCUAGUUGGUGGGGUAAUGGCUCACCAAGGCGACGAUGCGUAGCCGACCUGAGAGGGUGAUCGGCCACACUGGGACUGAGACACGGCCCAGACUCCUACGGGAGGCAGCAGUAGGGAAUCUUCCGCAAUGGACGAAAGUCUGACGGAGC
rnacentral:rRNA from 1 species